CCCUACUAUUUUGUGUGAUCCUGCCAAGGCCGGACUGGUCUGCGUUAUUUCAACCCAUAAUAAAAGCGCAAUUUUUAAUAACACACGAAUCGUAAGUUAAUUUUACCUGUAAAAAAUAUGUAAUUUUCUUGACGCACAACAUAGGUGUCAAACCAACUCAUACGAAUUGUAUUUAAUUUAUACACAUUAUGUGGGUUAUUGAACGCAUAUGAUCCGCGUUUCAUAUCCGUCAAAUACUUCAAUUGUUCUGUGCAACCGGAAUGAUUUCAGUCAAAAUGAUUUAAGUGAUGGAGAAACAGUUGAAUUGAAUUUAAAUGUUCUUUAUAGUGAACCAGAGACGGUUGUAUCCAACGAAAAUUUCAAAAUACAAGAAUAUAUGGAAUGUGAAGCUGAUAUAAAUACUAAGAAAGACGAAAACAAUAAAGUGGAUACUCUUGCAAUUCCUGGAUGUAGAAGUUCACUCACGAAGGCUUCAUUACAACCCCAACAUCGUCAGUUAAACGUGAAGAAAACUAAAGAAAUACCAAGUAAACUUACGGGACACUAAUCGAAAGUGGGUCCGCAUUACUCAGGCAUACAAUAGAAGUCUGACGGAAAAUUAUACAGAUGACAACGAGCGACCGAAAGAAAAAUUAUUCAAACCAUUUAUACAACAAGAAUUGGAUCUAUUUUUUGAUGUUCUUAUUAUUUACAUGGAGCAUAUUUCACAAUUGGUCUCAAAUGACAGACUUGUGUAGAAAGUUUCCAAAACCCUUAAGUUUUCAAUUGUGCCGUAAAAAUAUAGAACAGAGAUCAAACAAUUCUAUGCUGCCAUCAAAAUUAAUUAUUACAUCUGCAAUGCAAAACGUGCUUGUUAGUGAAGUAAGGCUUUCCAUUUCUUCUGGAUUUACGACUUCUACAAUUCGUAGACGAGAUUCUACAGUUCGUAGAUGAGAUGUGCCAAGAUGGCACUUGCAAUCGUUGGUAUCGUAUUCAUCUAAAGGGAAUUCAAACGAAAGUAAAAGAAAACGUGAAAAAUCUGCACCAACUGCAGACGACCACUUUGUGAUGAACAUGCAGUUACUCGUCCAAAAUGUAUCACCUCCUUCCAGAGGUCUACUAUAAUCUGUAUAACAUAAAAUUUGUAUUCUUUGUAUUAAUGAAACAUUUUGAUAUGUGUAUGCAAUAUCACUUUUUGAAAUCCGAAUUUUUAUCAGGCACACCGAUCUUGAAACUUCAACGUACCACAACUAACUUAAACAAACUGUUUUAACCAAUUUAAAUACAUUUUCCUUAUUCAUAAUUUUUAUUCCUGAUUCUGCAAAGUCACAGUUCUACCUAGCCAGCCAUUUUCAGCAGCUCCGCACUCUUGGAGGGAUUUUCGAUUUUCAUCCGCUGCUUCCCCUUCCGACGCCAGUUCCUACCAAACCGACCCAAUGUCAAAUCCUAACUUGUCCAAGGCCAUUUCCGACAGCUCCGUUAAACGGCAGCAACCGUUCCUGUCGUCGUCCGAACCCUCCUCCUCUGAAAACGAAUCGGACUUAGAACCUUCCAAUCUAAGUCAAAAAUCUCCCCCCUCAAAUCGUCAUACGUCAUACGUCAAAAGUCCCUUUGGCUGAAAAUUCUUCGUGCCAUGGACAUUAGCGCCCGUAGGUCAAUUAAUACUCAAGACUCAAUUCGUGUCUACCCCAGCUCCAUCGACAAUUUUCGUCGUCUAUCCUCUUUCCUGGACGAAUCCAAAGUCCAAUUCUCUACAAACCAUCUACAACUCAACGACAAAGGCUUUAUUAUCAAAGGCAUCCAUCGGAUGUGCAAAGAUAACAAAAUGUAGCCCUUUGUCACCGUCUGACUUGAUAAGACCGCUUCAAAUUCCAGUGGACCUUGCCGAAUUUCACGAGCGUACCAAAGUAGUCUCCCACAACUUCGUUCCCCUGUAUUCCAACUUCAAACACACGUCCCCACGCGAAAUAUUCCUCACCAUCCGAUCUCUAAAAUACAGAAAUGCCCCUGGCGCUGACGGAAUUCCUUACAGUCCUGCCGUCAAAGCACAUAGCCGCUCUGUGCAACAUAUAAAACGCCAUCAUGCGGCUCCACCACUUCCCUUUGGUAUGAAAAGAA
rnacentral:lncRNA from 1 species